UGGGGAAUAUUGGGCAAUGGAGGAAACUCUGACCCAGCAACGCCGCGUGAAUGAUGAAGGUCUUCGGAUUGUAAAGUUCUGUGAUGAAUGAAAAACACAAUGAUAGUAAUUCAAUAGCAAGCCACGGCAAACUACGUGCCAGCAGCCGCGGUAAUACGUAGGUGGCAAGCGUUGUCCGGAAUGACUGGGCGUAAAGGGUGCGUAGGCGGUCUAUUAAGAUAGAAGUGAAAUCCUUGGGCUUAACCCAAGAACUGCUUUUAUUACUGAUGGACGCGAGUGAUGGAGAGGUAAAUGGAAUUCCUAGUGUAGCGGUGGAAUGCGUAGAUAUUAGGAGGAACACCAGAGGCGAAGGCGAUUUACUGGACAUUAACUGACGCUGAGGCACGAAAGCGUGGGGAGCAAACA
rnacentral:rRNA from 1 species